AGCUUGCUUUCUUUGCUGGCGACCGGCGCACGGGUGAGUAACACGUAUCCAACCUACCCUUUACUCGGGGAUAGCCUUUCGAAAGAAAGAUUAAUACCCGAUAGCAUAAUGAUUCCGCAUGGUUUCAUUAUUAAAGGAUUCCGGUAAAGGAUGGGGAUGCGUUCCAUUAGGUUGUUGGUGGGGUAACGGCCCACCAAGCCUUCGAUGGAUAGGGGGUUCUGAGAGGAAGGUCCCCCACAUUGGAACUGAGACACGGUCCAAACUCCUACGGGAGGCAGCAUG
rnacentral:rRNA from 1 species